CAUAUUGGUAUUGAUUUUGGCAUCAAUGCGAUAACAAGCUACCCACUGCUCUGUUUGGUUACAGUAAUUUUUGAUAAAAUAAUAACCAAAAUUAUAUGUGUCGGCAUCUGAAAGAAUUUUAGAUAUAAAUAUAUUUAAUAAGGUUUUGAAUGUGGCUUCAUCAGUUUCGUUAAUCAGCUCAUAUAAUCUAUUUAAAAUUUCAGGGAUUUUUUUCAUUUACUAUUUUAGUUGCUCCAGAUGUUAAACUUUUCUUUAGUGCUCUUUUUACAUGCCAGUCACAUAAAACAUAGAAGUUACUAAAGUUUACUAAAGCUACCAUAGUUUACUAAAAAUAGCACACUAAGUAUUAUAGAAGGCUUUAUAAUCAUCAGACAUAAAAGCAUUAACUUUUAUGUCUAAAACCCAAGCUUUUACUUUUUGAAAAAAAUAUUUAAAAAUUGUUUCAUGUUGCCAGUUACUCCACAAAAAAGCAACAAGAAAGCCUUCCCAAUUAUCAUCUUUAAUUAGCAGACUGGUCAGUUGAAUAUUGUAUUUAUUUGUACCACGAGUAGAGUCAAUGUACAACACUUCAUUUCCAUAUAUUUUAAACAAUUCCUCCAGGGCUUCAUUCAUAAAGCCCAAGAUAAAAUCCUCUUUUUCUAAAUCAGGAAAUUCAGAGCUGCCUUCACCUGGUAAUUUAUACAUUAAUAUUGGAUUCUGAUCCAAUGCUAACAUUUCAUAUAUCCAUCCUUCAUCGGAGAGAACAUCAUUUUCAUUUCUAAUGGUGUCUCCAUUUAUUUGAUACUUUUUUACAAUGUUUCUAAUAUCCUGAGCAGUUGUUACUGCCAAAUGCUUAGUUGGAGAAGAUAUGCCUGCAAUAUUAUUUAAAAUAUUUCAAAUUCGGACUCCUGUAAUCAAUUGACCAACUAUCUUCUCCUUUUCUCUUUCACACAACCGAAAAUGUUUUAUUUCAAAUAUGUGGCCUACAUACAUAGGAAAAUAUUUCACAUGCAACUGGCCUGACUCUUUACAACUUUUUACAGAUAUGAAAGCUGGGAAAUAUGAAUUUAUUUUACAUGAUCCAGCUAACUUUAUAUGGCAAAGGUCUUUGCUCUUAGAGCUGAAAUCUCCACUACAAUGACAUGUAUACAUUGUAGUGUGAGAAGAAUACUGCUUUCGGGUUCUUAUAUAAGAUGUUGAAGUCGUUAGUUCGGUUUCUGUCUUCCAGGUUUGAAAUCACUCUAAGAGUUGAAAGUUAAGCUUUCAUUUGUUUUAAAUAAAUUAGGGUGAUUUUUUUUAAAAUAUGCAUAUAUAGUUGACUUUUAAUAAAAAACACAUUUUUGCAUUCACCACAGGGAAAUUUUCUUUGAAAUUUGCAUGAAAAAUUUUCUCAUGCCUCCUGCAACAUUGAAUGGGGGAAAAAGAUUUUCUGCAGAUGGAACAGAGGAUUGGAAUUCUGGAUGUAACAUGGAUCUUCUUAUGCUUUAUAAGAGCAACAAAUUCAUUAAAUAUUUCUUCACAAUAUGGACAUGAAAAUGUUGAUGCCGACUGGACUGGCAAAGGAUUAGGUUCUGUGAAUUCACAACUUGAACAUUUAUAUUUAUGAUACAAAAAUUUGUGAAUUUUUUUUUCAUGUUUUUAGUGAUUACUCUUUGUCAAAAACCUCUUUUUGCAGAUUUGACAGAGAUAUAUGGGUGGUAAUUGCACUGGCAUUUGUUUAGGUACUUCUACUUGGUUUGCUGAUGAAGAAACAAUUGGCACUGGGUAAAUGCUUCUGUAUGGUUUGCUGGUGGAGAAACAAUUGGCAUUGGAGUAGAUGCUUCGGCAUGGUUUGCAACAUUAUGCUCAACUAGUUCGUAUUUUUUUAGCAUGACAAUUCACAAACAAUACAUUUGUGUUUCAUAUAUAUUUUUCCAUGAAAAUUUUUCUCAUGCCUUUGACAAUUACUAAUUGUUUGAAAUGUCUUAGCACAAAACUGACACACAUUUUUUUCACCCAGAGACAUAAUAAUUAAAUAUUUUUUAUCAUUGUUCUAAAUUAAAUUUGAAGCAAUAAAUUUGGGAUGUCAAUCAACAAAGUCGUUUCCAAAUGAAAAUUCAACUUACAUAGAAAAAAUACAGCAGGAUUAAAAUGCUUCAGAAAAAUGAGGGAGCAAAGAGUUAGGUUAGUUUAUAGGCUUAGUUAAAAAAGCUCACUGAAGUGUUUUUCCUCAUUUGUUAUUCAAAUUAUGCCAAUGAUUUGGUUGACAAAUCUAAACCAUAUUCCAUAUUCUUUUGUUGGGCCAGAAUUUCAUAUAAAAUACCAUUAUCAUUUGAUGUUAAGUUCAGUUCAAUAAUACCGUAUACUCAUUUUACCGCCAAAUCUGUUGUUUUUCUCGAAUUUUUAUCUCUUUCUGCCGUCAUGAUGACACACAAUUUCGCGGGAAUUUCAUUGGCUCGGAUUAAGGAUCGUUUCAUCCAUUCGAUAUCUUUAAGGUCUUCUAGUAAAUAAAUGCACAAGAACCGCUUCACAUUUACAGAUCAAUGGAUCAUAACACUCACAGGGAAGAACAAAUGGGUAACCUAUUUAAUAAGUAGUAGGUCAUUACGUCAAUUAGUACGACAGUGUGCUAUUAAUCGCUUUGUUUACUACUUGGCUACCAUCCACAGUAAGGUUUGCUUCGAAAUCAUAAAGGAAACCAAGGUAUGAAUGGCUGCUAUGCACAGGGCCGGCAAUCUGGGGUGUGUGGCGGAUGCUAUGCACUGGGGCCAGUAAAUUGAAGGGUUCCAACAUGAUCAAGAACUAAAAUAAUGUUCUGAAUGGUAACAGCGGGAUGGAAACAAUAGAGGAAGAAAUUUAACUGGAACAAUCAAUAGUUUUUGAAUUGUACAAAGUUUACAGAAUAAAAUGCUUCAUCUUUCUGUCCUUCCAGGCCUAAUGAUAUUGAAAUUGUGCAUUCUCUGCAUGAUUUGAGGCUGAAAUAUGCAAAAAUGAAAAGAAAUUUCAAACAUAUUUUUUCUUUAAAAAAAUACUGAAAUCAAAAAUCUAAAGAUAACCCCGGAAUGAAAAAUCUACCAGUAGAAAUAAAUAUUUUGCAGAAUUGUGCUUAUAAAGAUGUAAAGAAGGAUUAUAAGCCUUUUUGCCACUUCCUUGAAAGACUUGGUAUUUUACUAUUUAUUUAUUUAUUUAUUUUUUGGAAGUUGAGAAUUGUUUUCUCUUUGGCAAAUUCUUCAUGUGGGGGAAAGUUUUAUGAGAUUAGACCAAGGGAAUUAAUAAAUUGAGAGGGGCCUGUAAACUGGAGUAUUUUUGUUAUGAAGCAUUCAUGACUUUGUUUUUUCUGCUACCGGAAUUGCAAGGUAUAUGCAUAAACUAUCUAUAUUUGAACUAAAUUAUGUAUAAUUUAGAAUGGUUAAUUCAUCAUACUAUUAUCUUUCUCAGUCAGAUACGUCUUAAUUGCAUUUGGGAAACAAUUUUAAUAUUCUGGAACUUUUUGAAUGUAGAAGAAUGACUUUCAUUAUGCCUCCUCUUUUUAUUCUUGCAUUUUAACUCACAUUCUAUAACUCAAUACUAAUUUUUGAAAUCCAUAUUACAUCAUUGAAAGUCUUCUUAACCCGAAAAAACCUUAGUAACAAUCAGAAUUUUAUUCCACUGUGCCUAGAAGUAUCAAAAUAUUCCUUUAUUUAAUAGCUGCUGAGCAGGCUCUUGAUAUUUCUCUGUAUAAUUUCAAUCUUUAUAUUUAUGAGACUAAAUGUAUUAUAAAAUGUUUCUAUUUCAGAUUGUGCUUUUGGAUGUAACUCAAUCACUUUUUAAUGUAUUCUUAAUAUUGGAACAGAGGUAAUUAAUAAAGUAAAUUUUGCCUGAAAGACUUGAUGGUAGCUUGCAUUAAAUGUGCUGUUUUUCUAUAUUUUGUAAAAGCCCAAAGAGUAUAUAUACAUUCUUGCUGUUUUAAUUCUUAAAUAUCUUUCUUCAUUCUGCCAUAUUUUUUAGGCUACAAAUAAAUUAUUUCUUUUUCUUUACAAAUAAAUUAUUUCACUUUGAAUGAAAUUAGUGAAUUAUAUUUUAAAAUAUAUCAAAAUAGUUAUCUUCAGAAAUUUCUGAUAUCUUUUGUUUUUUAUUUGGCACAUACUUAAUUUUUUUUUUUGUAGUUUAAUAAUAAUAGUGUCUAUUAAAAAUAUUUUCAUGAAGUUCAAAAAUAUUGCACUUUUAAUGGAUUCCCUUUAUGAUGAUCAAAAAGUUCUGGUAUUUAUUGUAUGAUGAGACACUGAGUGCAAAUUGAACUUUUUUGAUGAUAUUCUUUCAAAGUAAAUAAUACCUUGUGGAAUCAAAUCUUCAAAUAACACGCUUUUACCUAGAGAUAUUGACAAAUUUUCACAGCCUUGCAAUGAUAACAACAUGGUUCUACCAACUAUAAACACUACUUCACAGCCCAUUGUAGCUACAUAUCAAAACUCAGACAGUGAAACAGAUGAUGAUGAUGGUACCGGUUUCCAGGUACAAAAAUAAUCCUGAUGUUUUUAAGCCAGCAAUAAAAAAAAUAGUGAAGAAUGUAAACAAGUUUGGAAAAACAGAAACUUGAUUGGUGUCUGCCUUGCAUGACUUUGGAAGAAACCUUAACUACUCAAGCAGAGUUUUGAAGUGCAGCAGAAGGAGAGGCAAUCAAAUACCUGUUCAACCUACAGCAAUUGCAAGAAGAAAAUCAAUUUAUUCUGGAAGGAAAAGUCAAGUCAAGUUGGUGGAAGACCAGUUAAGCGAGCAUUACCACCUGCCCUAAAAGAACAUGCAUAUGGAAUAUUCUCUGAGUUACCGAAAAAACAUCGAAAAACAAAGCAUAGUUUGACACAUUGUGUUGAAAAGAAUGCAUCUCUUCCAAAUUAAUUUAUACUUAUUUUAUUACUAUCAUGCUUCAAAAAAUUAUGUUUUGUUACAUGCUUUAAAAAUGUAUUAGAACAUUUUAACAGGAUUUGUUUGGUGUUAAAAUAAUUAGUAUUAAUAUGGUAUAAAAUUUUAAUGCUAUUAUGGUAUUAAAUAGCACUUAUUCCAUGAAACUGUUGUAUAUUA